AUGGACUUGAACAGCUCGGAGAAGUUGCCUUUGCCAAACCCUCCGAAGUCACCCUUCUGGUACUCUUCCCCUCUCUCGUCCUUCUCCAUGCACCCGAUCCUUUGGAUCAUCUCCAGGAACAACGUUGGCCUGAACAUAAUAGUUGAUGCAGUUAGAUUUGGAAUCACAGGGAGUAGAGCAAAGAAGCGCUCGAAUUUAUUAUCCAGGUCUUGGAGAACAUUGGAAGCCUGCUGCUUCCAUUUGUGUACUGCACCAGUAGGUCUCCUGAUGCUGCGUCGUGGGUCAGGCAAGAUCAGCUACUGGAUGCUACGUUGA
rnacentral:rRNA from 1 species